GCGCGCGUGGAGGAGUGGCUGGAACCCGAGCUGGGACGGGCCCGGCGGCGGGCCGAUCUGGCGCGGAUCGACGCCGGUACGGCGCUCGGCCGUCUGCU
rnacentral:tRNA from 1 species